CAACAGAACUGAAAUAGUUUAAUUCAAUAGUUGCUACUUUACAUUUAACACUCCUCGCAUCGGUUAUGUAUGACAUAUUCCAUAUCAUAACAAACAUAAACAAAAACAAACUAUCAAUCAUUAUUAUGUUAAAGUGCAGCUUUUAUCAAUUCUACAAAACAUCUCAAAUAAUCAUCUCCAUAUUCGUGAUAUAAUUAUGUGAUUUCACUGUACUAAUUUCAAAUAUGUGUUUUACAACAACUGCAUGUAUUUAUACUAAGAUUGGAUCAGGGUUUUUUACAACAUUUGAUAUGAUAUGUUAUGCAAACGAUUAUUUAUAAACAGUUUUUAUAUCUAUACUCAUUUUGUCGACUUAAUGUGUUCGAAACUCUGUUAAAAAAACAUAUUUAAACACUUUAAUAAACUAUCAAUCUUUCAAUAUAUACACCUGAACAUU
rnacentral:lncRNA from 1 species